UCCCGAGGCGUUAAAAGGAGCCCGAGACCUCCUCCUCCGCCCUAGGGUUCCCUCUCCUUUCCUCCCCAGCGCCGCCAGUUUCCCUAGUGCCCUCGUUCUUCCCUGGUAAGUCCUGAGAGAGAGCAGAGAGAGAGGGUGCAGCGCCUCCCCCGUCAAGCCGCCGAUCCGUCGUCUCCGGCACUGGGCGCCAUGUCCGGGGGCUCGGGGUGAGUCCCCGCGUCCCAUUCCCGGCGCUAGGACCCCGAGGAGCGGCCCCCCCCGUCGAGCUCGUCCUCGUCAACGGGACGAACCGGGCGAUCCGCGUCCGUCUCCUUCUUCGGUCUUCGGCGGGACGACUUCGUCCGGCCGUCUUCUUCCUCUCCGACGCUCCUCCUCCCCGUUCGACGCCCCUCUUCUCCUCAAGGUGAGGCCGCGUCCUCGUCCUCCUUCCUUCCGCCUCCGCGGUCCGGCUCGUUCCAGCGUGUGUGCAUUUCUCUGUCCGAUAUCUGUGUGUGGGGGUGCAGUUGUCGCGAGUGGAGCAGGGUGGGGUAGGUAUGUUAUGGAGGUACCGUGCAGGAGAGGGCUUCCUCCCCCUCUCUGCAGCAGCGCCAUGAUCAGAGGAGCUCUCCUCGCCGGCCGUGCAGCGUAGCGACGCAGGCAGGGCUGCCCGUCAAGGUCUCUGUCCCGUGCUCCCAGGCGAACUGCAGGAUGCAGGAACGCCGCUGCAGUUCAAGGCAGCCAAGGGUGCUCCUUCUCCCGUGCUUAGACCAAAAAUGGGUUCCCCGAGAGUCCCGCGGGCCCCGCCGUCGGUUUUCCCCGCCGGUGGUGGCCGGGAGUGGCGCCGCCAGCGUCCUCCGGUCUGGCCGCCGGCGGGAUGCUUCUCGUGAGAGGCGUGUUCUUCUGUUUUACCUUCUAGUGUUAGUCAGACGCCGGUUCGUAGCCUGAUGGUAGUGUCUCUCGGUCGCAUGCAUGCGCCUGUUGAGAGGUCUAGGGAUCGAGUCCCCCCCUCGGCGCCUUUUUGGUUGUUUUCCUUGUUUAUUUCGGGUCAUGGCAGUGCAGACAGAUUACCUUGCAUAUCUCCCUUCAUCUGUCAACAAGAAGCACCGUAGCGCUGUGGCGUGGUUGUGUGGUGCUGGACACCAGGGAACUGGGUUCGAACCCCAGCAGCCCUGUUUUUUUUUUUUUUUUUUUUUUCUUUUNNNNNNNNNNNNNNNNNNNNNNNNNNNNNNNNNNNNNNNNNNNNNNNNNNNNNNNNNNNNNNNNNNNNNNNNNNNNNNNNNNNNNNNNNNNNNNNNNNNNNNNNNNNNNNNNNNNNNNNNNNNNNNNNNNNNNNNUUUUUUUUUUUUUUUUGCAUUCUUUUCUUUUUCCUGCCUACUCAUUUCCUGUUUUCCUAACUCCUACACUUGUGUCUCAUCAGUUUUGUUCCCUGUUGUUUUUUUUAUUUUACAAACUCCUACGCAAUGGUGAUUGCUCCUGUUCCUGCUAGAAUAGUGGUAUAGAUUUAGUGUGAGAAUGUUUUACAUGCUAGGGGUGUUAAAUAGUUUUGCUAGCCGGUGAUUCUUAUAGUGGUUGUACCUUGGUGAUGAGGAGCCAACCCUGAUUAGGGCAUGUUGCUAGGUGCCUUGUUAAAUAUGGGUGUAGUGUUUGGAGGUGAUUAGUUGGCCUAGCUAUUCUUGCAAAGCCCUAGCUUGUGAAUCUUGGUGUGGUCUAAGGGAUAUUGUAGUUUUGUUAGCUUGCUUUGACAUAGUGGGGUGUGGGUGCCUCCCCCUCAUCACAUGUCUUGAGGUGAGGGAUAGCACUAGAUAGCUAUUUAUGAUAGCAUGUGAGGGUGUGGUUUGUUGUGGUAGUUUGCACAAUGUUGGUGACAUGAAUACUAGAAAGAUACUAGUGGUGCUUGGGAGGGUGUGCACCAUCACAUGCCCAUGUGUGGGGGGUGGUAUACCCUUUUGUUAUACAAAGAUUUCUUGUGUGUGAGCUUGAUGCUAGUGCUUGAGAGGAUUUGUGUGUGUGUUGGAGUUGUUGAUGUGCAUGACACAAACAUGGGGUUCAAAACCCCAUGUCACUUUGUCAUUGUGCACAUGAAACCCUCCUAUGCAUUGUCAUCUUAAAAGUAUACCUUUUGGAUUUGCAUUUUUCAUUUUGUUGAAAGUUUGGGCUUUGUUUCCAUGGUAUAGAUGGAGCCCAAAGGCAUGGAUCUUGGUGUGUUAGUUGUAGGGGUUUGUGCUCAAUACCAUAGUGGUGUCAAACACCUCUUGGGAACUUGUGUGUGCAAACUAUGCCUAGACAAAGUGGGCAUGUGGCUAGAAAAAUUCCAGGAUUUUGAACUCUGAAAAUUUCACUAAGUCUGGAAUGCUGAAAACAUUUUCUUCCCCUGUAGAUAAGGUUGUGCAGGUCAGUAUGUUGAGAACUGGACUUAGUUCAGUGCUAGUGUUUUGAACCUGGUAUGUUUUUGCAGCUUCCUGUCAAUUUUCAAGUCAUUUGGAGUCCAGUAGCUUGUGUUUUGAUUGCUGUCAAAAGGCUUCAGAACAGAAACAGAAACUCAGGUGCAGAAAUUUUCACUAAGUCCCUGAGAACUGAUGGUUCUGGGAAAGUUUGUGGCCUUGUAACUUCUAGAUUUUAAUUCCUUUUGCUGUGAUUCUUGCUGGAGAUGGUAGUGUUCUUGGUUGUCAACAUCCACAUAUAUUAUUUUUCAUGUUUGUAGACCUGUAGCUAUGUUGCAUGUGGCUCACAAACAGCUAAGAUGCAGAAACUGGCAGAUUGCGUAGUUUUGACAUUUUGUUCAAAGUUUGUGUUUGAUUGUUGUUGGGGUGUUCUACCUUGCUCCAUUUCAUUCAUGUUGGGUUAAUAUAUGUCUUGGCAACCUGGGAACACCAGAUUUGUGCCAAUUGUGUGUGUGGGGAUGAAUCUUUCACGUAGGGCUUCAUAUCGUGUUUCGUUGAUUCCCGUUGAUCCGUAGCUCCGUUUGCAAAGUUCUUUAUAUGGUUUUGCACCGUUUUUACGAGAUGCAUCUGUCCAUAUCAUUUCCAUGCAUGUACAAAUAGUUUAGUGCAAAGUUCUGUCCAGGAACUCGUUGUAGUUUAUCUUGCUUGUGCUAGUGUUAGAAAUAGUGGUGCAUGCUCAACUUUCAUCUCAUGCAUCGUGUGAUUGUUGCAUUUUGUGGUGCUGCUGUUCAUUGGCUGAUAUUCCUGUGUUGGGUAGCACCGGGAGCGGAGACCGAUUACGUGGAGUCAGGAGAGUACUUGCAGGACGAUCCAGAACCAUUCCAAGCUGAGGAUAUCACAGGCAAGAUGACAUGACCUUGAUCCCAUAUCUAGACUUGUUAUGUUAGUUUCGAUUCUACGUAAUAUUGCUCGCUUCCUACCACUGAAAUAUAUUACCUCUUCAUAUGCCAUGAGC
rnacentral:lncRNA from 1 species